GACGAACGCUGGCGGCGUGCUUAACAUAUGCAAGUCGAACGCUGAAGCUUGGUGCUUGCCCUGGGUGGAUGAGGGGCGAACGGGUGAGUAAUACGUGAGUAACCUGCACUUGACCCUGGGAUAAGCCUGGGAAACGGGGUCUAAUACUGGAUACGACAUGUCACCGCAUGGUUGCGUGUGGAAAGGGAUUUACUGGUUUGGGAUGGGCUCACGGGCUAUCAGUUUGUUGGUGGGGUAAUGGCUCACCAAGGCGACGACGGGUAGCGGGCCUGAGAGGGGGACCGGCCACACUGGGACUGAGACACGGCCCAGACUCCUACGGGAGGCAGCAGUGGGGAAUAUUGCACGAUGGGCGAACGCCUGAUGCAGCGACGCCGCGUGAGGGAUGAAGGCCUUCGGGUUGUAAACCUCUUUCAGCACGGAAGAAGCGAAAGUGACGGUACGUGCAGAAGAAGCGCCGGCUAACUACGUG
rnacentral:rRNA from 1 species